rnacentral:rRNA from 1 species
AUUGAACGCUGGCGGUAUGCUUAACACAUGCAAGUCGAACGGUAACAGGCUCUAGCUUGCUAGAGUGCUGACGAGUGGCGGACGGGUGAGUAACGCGUAGGGAUCUGUCUAAUAGCUUGGGACAACACGGGGAAACUCGUGCUAAUACCAAAUACACUCUAAGGAGGAAAGGUGGGGGUUAAACCCUGCCGCUAAUCGGGGAACCUGCGUUGGAUUAGCAAGUUGGUGGGGUAAUGGCCUACCAAGGCGACGAUCCAUAGCUGUUCUGAGAGGAAGAUCAGCCACACUGGGACUGAGACACGGCCCAGACGCCUACGGGAGGCAGCAGUGGGGAAUAUUGGACAAUGGGCGCAAGCCUGAUCCAGCAAUACCGCGUGUGUGAAGAAGGCCUGAGGGUUGUAAAGCACUUUCGGCAGGGAGGAAGUAUAUGGAGUUAAUAGCUUUAUAUAUUGACGUUACUUGCAGAAGAAGCACCGGCUAACUCUGUGCCAGCAGCCGCCGUAA